AUGUCCCGGUGCGUCCAGGCGCACCCCCGUGUCCCAGUGCAUCCAGGCCCACCCCCAUGUCUCGGUGUGUCCAGGCGCACCCCCGUGUCCCAGUGUGUCCAGGCCCACCCCCCGUGUCCCGGUGCAUCCAGGCGCACCCCCGUGUCCUGGUGUCUCCAGGCGCACCCCCGUGUCCCGGUGUCUCCAGGCGCACCCCCGUGUCCCGGUGUCUCCAGGUGCACCCCCGUGUCCCGGUGCGUCCAGGCACACCCCCGUGUCUCGGUGUGUCCAGGUGCAUCCUCGUGUCCCGGUGUGUCCAGGCGCAUCCUCGUGUCCCGGUGUGUCCAGGCCCACCCCUGUGUCCCGGUGUGUCCAGACACAUCCCUGUGUCCCGAUGCGUCCAGGCCCACCCCCGUGUCCCGGUGCGUCCAGGCCCACCCCCGUGUCCCGGUGCGUCCAGGCGCAUCCCCGUGUCCUGGUGUGUCCAGGCCCACCUCCGUGUCCCAGUGUGUCCAGACACAUCCCCGUGUCCCGGUGUCUCCAGGCACACCCCUGUGUCUCGGUGCAUCCAGGUGCACCCCCAUGUCUCGGUGCGUCCGGGCCCACCCCCGUGUCCCGGUGCGUCCAGGUAUAUCCCCGUGUCCCAGUGCGUCCAGGCACAUCCCCGUGUCCCAGUGUCUCCAGACACACCCCUGUGUCUCAGUGAAUCCACGCACAUCCCCGUGUCCUGGUGCCUCCAGGUGCACCCCCGUGUCCUGGUGUGUCCAGGCACACCCCCGUGUCUCAGUGCAUCCAGGCACACCCCUGUGUCUCGGUGUCUCCAGGCUGCGUUACAGCACCCACCAAGGGGCGGCUCCCAGUCCUCAGAGCCAAUUCCCCACGGUGCUCAGACUGGGGACCCCUGACCCAGUGAAUCCUUUCCUGGUGGAAGAGUCUAGGGUGUGGGUGGGGUCCCCGUACAAGGGCAUGGAGCCCAUUCAAGGGGGCACCUCCCUCUUGGUCACCCACAGGGCCUCACCUGUGGGACCGUGA
rnacentral:lncRNA from 1 species